UGUCUGUUCUAAGCUGAGGCGUUAGAUAGACCUUCAGGGAUCCCUGACAAAGAGGCAUCUGGUCUUAACUGCUUGCUUCUAGUGGCCAUGUGCUCACUACUUUCUUUGCUUCAUUGAGACUGCCCCAUGUGCUACAGAGGUCUCUUCCAUGUUGGGAAAUGCCUCUGCCCUCAUCUGGGCAGUUCUGAUCUGUGUUCAUGGGUUAUUUUUCCCAUUGUCAGGGUGAGGCAUUCACUCUUUGGGGAAGUGAGGAAGCUCAUCACAGACGAGUUUGUGAAGCAGAAGUACCUGGAGUACAAGAGGGUCCCUAACAGCAGACCACCUGAAUAUGAGUUCUUCUGGGGCUUGCGCUCCUACCAUGAGACUAGCAAGAUGAAAGUCCUCAAGUUUGCAUGCAAGGUGCAGAAGAAAGACCCCAAGGACUGGGCUGUGCAGUACCGCGAGGCAGUGGAGAUGGAAGUCCAAGCUGCAGCUGUGGCUGUGGCUGAGGCUGAAGCCAGGGCUGAGUGGUUCCAACACCAGCACUGGCUUUACUGGCGAACCCAGCACCAGCACGGGCUUCAAUAGUGGACCCAGUUCUAUUGUUGGCUUCAGCGGUGGACCAAGCACUGGUGUUGGCUUCUGCAGUGGAC
rnacentral:sRNA from 1 species